rnacentral:rRNA from 1 species
GUCUGCGUACCUACCACGUUUAAAACCCCAGGUAUCGUCUGAACCCUGAAGAUACCUGAAGAAACGUCGGGCCGAGUAAGUUCCUCGGAGUGAGAUCACUUGGAAACACUCGGUUACAUAGACU